rnacentral:rRNA from 1 species
GUGAGGAAUAUUGGACAAUGGGCGCAAGCCUGAUCCAGCCAUGCCGCGUGCAGGAAGACGCAUCUAUGGUGUGUAAACUGCUUUUGUACGGGAAGAAACACUCCCUCGUGAGGGAGCUUGACGGUACCGUAAGAAUAAGGAUCGGCUAACUCCGUGCCAGCAGCCGCGGUAAUACGGAGGAUCCAAGCGUUAUCCGGAAUCAUUGGGUUUAAAGGGUCCGUAGGCGGUUUAAUAAGUCAGUGGUGAAAGCCCAUCGCUCAACGAUGGAACGGCCAUUGAUACUGUUAGACUUGAAUUACAAGGAAGUAACCAGAAUAUGUAGUGUAGCGGUGAAAUGCUUAGAUAUUACAUGGAAUACCAAUUGCGAAGGCAGGUUACUACUUGUGGAUUGACGCUGAUGGACGAAAGCGUGGGGAGCGAACAGGAUUAGAAACCCUGGUAGUCC